UUCGGGAAGUUUGAUGACGUGCUUGAGCCAGGAUGCCACUUUUUGCCAUGGUGUUUAGGGAGAAAUGUGGCUGGUUAUCUUUCGCUGCGCGUGCAGCAGCUUGAUGUUCGUUGUGAAACAAAAACCAAGGACAAUGUGUUUGUCACUGUUGUUGCAUCUAUCCAAUACCGUGCCCUUGGUGAGAAGGCAGCUGAUGCUUUCUAUAAGCUUAGCAACACAAAGG
rnacentral:misc_RNA from 1 species